rnacentral:miRNA from 1 species
AAGAAUUGAAGAGAGUGUAGAG